rnacentral:rRNA from 1 species
UACGGGGGGGAGCAAGCGUUGUUCGGAUUUACUGGGCGUAAAGGGCGCGUAGGCGGUCGUGACAAGUCACUUGUGAAAUCUCCGGGCUUAACUCGGAACGGUCAAGUGAUACUGUCGGACUAGAGUACAGAAGGGGCAACUGGAAUUCUCGGUGUAGCGGUGAAAUGCGUAGAUAUCGAGAGGAACACCUGCGGCGAAGGCGGGUCUCUGGGCAGUAACUGACGCUGAGGAGCGAAAGCGUGGGGAGCGAACAGG